rnacentral:rRNA from 1 species
UACGUAGGGUGCAAGCGUUGUCCGGAAUUAUUGGGCGUAAAGAGCUCGUAGGCGGUCUGUCGCGUCGGCUGUGAAAUCCCGAGGCUCAACCUCGGGUCUGCAGUCGAUACGGGCAAACUAGAGUAUUGCAGGGGAGACUGGAAUUCCUGGUGUAGCGGCGAAGUGCGCAGAUAUCAGGAGGAACACCGGUGGCGAAGGCGGUUCUCUGGGCAUUACCUGACGCUGAGGCGCGAAAGCCAGGGGAGCAAACGGG